rnacentral:tRNA from 1 species
CAGUAAAUAGUUUAAUUAAAAUUUAAGUUUUGGAUACUUAAGAUGUAUAAAUAAUACUUUACUGA